UCCUGCGCAGUGUAUCGGCGUGGAUCAUUUAGAUUUAGAUAAACAUAACCAUAAGCGAUAAACGUAUUCGAGAUUGCGACCGGAAUGUAAUUCAUGAUGUGUAUAAAUUCAAAUACAAAAUGCUACAAAGAGGACGUUAUGGAUGCAAAUUAGAAAUAAACAUCAUAGCACUACUCGAAAAAUUUGUAUGUUAGUUUUAAAACUUCCUGGAGGAAAUGUGUUCUGGAUGACCAACAACGUUAACUGUUUGGAUAUGGAUGUUCUUUUUGUAUAGUGCAGUGAGGUAUACCAACGUACGGGUCCCUCGUAAUUGUAAACUUUCGUUGUACAUUAGUUUUCGUAUUGGGUAUUCUAAUUACAGUUCCACCUAAGUCCACCGAUUUUUAUGUUCCACAAUUCGUGCUUACGACAAGCACCACUAAUGCCAACUAUAAGAGCAACCUGUAAAUGUAAAAUAGAUAUGAUGUAACGAGUAACGAUUUGAACGUGUAAUGUUAUAGUAGAUAUGAACUGUCGGGGUUGCUUUUUGAAUAAACAUUUUUACUUUGCUCGUUGAUAGAAUUUUUGACUUUUUAGGGAAAUAGCCGCUGGAUUGCGUUUUUAACAAGGCCUGCAACUUAGCAUAGCUGCUUAUAUCUACAUUAUUGUUCAAAAGUAUCGUAGAGCACAGCAUGGAAUACGUUUUCCACAAUGUGGAUGCUUUAAUUUACUGUGAUAGUUUGCUAAAGUAAGCACUACGUUCUCUGAAAAUGAGUUGGUUUUUUUCUUGUCCUCCACUCCAAAAAUUUGCUGUAUGUAUGUUCGUACACUUUUAGUUUGUCGGGAAGUAAAUUUUUUUGCGUGUUCUGCUUCCA